rnacentral:rRNA from 1 species
UACAGAGGGUGCGAGCGUUAAUCGGAAUUACUGGGCGUAAAAGCGCGCGUAGGCGGCUUUUGCAAGUCGAUUGUGAAAAUCCCCCAGGCUUAACCUGGGAACUGCAUUCGAGACUGCAUAGCUAGAGUAUGGGAGAGGGAAGUGGAAUUUCAGGUGUAGCGGUGAAAUGCGUAGAUAUCUGAAGGAACAUCAGUGGCGAAAGCGACUUCCUGGACCAAUACUGACGCUCAUGUGCGAAAGCGUGGGGAGCAAACAGGG